GUAGGUGGCGAGCGUUAUCCGGAUUUACUGGGCGUAAAGCGCGUGCAGGCGGUUCCGUAAGUCGGACGUGAAAGCUCCUGGCUUAACUGGGAGAGUGCGUUCGAUACUGCGGGACUUGAGGUCGGGAGAGGGACGUGGAAUUCCCGGUGUAGUGGUGGAAUGCGUAGAUAUCGGGAGGAACACCAGUGGCGAAGGCGGCGUCCUGGCCCGUACCUGACGCUGAGACGCGAAAGCGUGGGUAGCGAACGGGAUUAGAUACCCCGGGUAGUCCACGCCGUAAACGGUGGAUACUAGGUGUUGGUGGCUAUCGUCAUCAGUGCCGUAGCUAACGCGUUAAGUAUCCCGCCUGGGGACUACGGCCGCAAGGCUA
rnacentral:rRNA from 1 species